UCAACUUGUCAAACAAUGAGCGGUAACAAUUGAGUAGACUAACCACAAGAAUGACGACUGGACAAGAACACUGGAUAUUGGCUUUGAUUAUUGGACACAACGCAGACAUUUGUAUGUAAAUAAAACUAUACGAUCACACAACUUUAUAUUGGUAGAGGGAAUCGUUCUACAACAUCACAGGUAGAUUUGCCUGAUUUGUUCCAGCCGGUGAUAACUGAGCAACCUAGUCAGGGACCCUGAAUCAACAGGGUAGGUAAGCUAGGUCAGUUUGGAGUAAUAUCAACGACAGAUGGUGGAUUACAUGGAGGUCGGAGUUAUCAACGACAGUCGGAGUAGUUGCACUUGGAGGUCGGAGUUAUCAACGACAGUCGGAGUAGUUGUACUUGGAGGUCGGAGUUAUCAACGACAGUCGGAGUAGUUGCACUUGGAGGUCGGAGUUAUCAACGACAGUCGGAGUAGUUGUACUUGGAGGUCGGAGUUAUCAACGACAGUCGGAGUAGUUGCACUUGGAGGUCGGAGUUAUCAACGACAGUCGGAGUAGUUGCACUUGGAGGUCGGAGUUAUCAACGACAGUCGGAGUAGUUGCAGAACUUUUGAAUGAUGGAAG